rnacentral:rRNA from 1 species
AUGGGAUUCACCAAGGAAUUUGAGGUGCAGGCCCAUGGCAACACCGAUUUGCAAGUGAUCCACACCAACGAGUUGCACAAGGCGGCCACCAUCAUCGAGCAGUACGAGCGACACCUCGAAUUCGAGUGCCACAAGAUCGUCGGAGUUGAUGUGGAGUACACCAACGACGUUGGCCAAGACCAGAAACCAGCCCUCGUCCAACUCUCCGUCAGGAAAGAUCAUCUGGUGCUGUUCUUUCAACUGAGCGCCGCCGACAAGAACUGCACCAGGUUCGACAACUUCCUCGCCGACCCCAGGUACACAUUUGCUGGCUUCUCCAUUGACGGUGACAUAGAGAUGCUCGGCCACGUCGGACUGGAGAUAGCCCACUCCGUCGACAUCCAGAAGGAAUGGAGGGUGCCUACUGCUACCAAGCCCCUGGACUCGCUUGGCGAUGUCUCAGGCAUCCUUGUCCAUGACUACUACAAGGACAUGAAGAAGAAGAUCACCAACGCAGAGCACCAGCGCUGGGCGCGCAUGCCCCUGACCAUGAGGCACAUCGAGCACGCGGCAAAAGAUGAUCACACUGCGUACGAGAUAUGGAGCCGCCUCACCACUAUCCAGGAAGGGCUCCGCCGGGCAAAACUCGAGAAGGAGCAGUCCAGGAAGCGCGCAAGGUCCUGGGGCGACUACGACUACUGA